rnacentral:rRNA from 1 species
GAGUUUGAUCUUGGCUCAGAGUGAACGCUGGCGACGUGCUUAACACAUGCAAGUCGAGCGAAGCGGCAGCUGUAGCAAUACAGUAUGUGCUUAGCGGCAGACGGGUGAGUAACACGUAGAUAACCUACCUCUUAGAGGGGGAUAGCCCGCCGAAAGGCGGGGUAAUACCGCGUAAUGUCAUUUUUGGCAUCAAAGAAUGACCGAACGUCCGCAAGGACGGCUAAGAGAGGGAUCUGCGGCCUAUCAGCUAGUUGGUGAGGUAACGGCUCACCAAGGCUACGACGGGUAUCCGGCCUGAAAGGGCGAUCGGACACACUGACACUGAGACACGGGUCAGACUCCUACGGGAGGCAGCAGUGAGGAAUCUUGGACAAUGGGGGCAACCCUGAUCCAGCGACGUCGCGUGAAGGAUGAAGGUCUUCGGAUUGUAAACUUCUUUUAUCUGGGAAUAAGAAAUCUGUGGAAACACGGAGAGUGAAUGUACCAGGUGAAUAAGCCA